GGUUGCCAUGGGUUAGGGAUGGGAAGUUCUCCAUCCGCACUGGAAAACCUACCAGGCAUUCCCACAACGCUUUCUGUUUCCUGCAGCCUCCGUUUUUCGAGGAAGCCCUGUCGUGCACGAGAGGUCAGAUUGAUGGGGUGCCCCAGGCUCUGCGAGUUAAGUUGUUGGGCGCGGUGACUAUUACAGGAACGGCGGUGCCUUGAGUUAACUUCGUUAAUGCUCAGCUGGUGAGGUAAGCAGCACCCAUCGGAAAGUACCCAUCACAGAGGAACUUGGGAGCAAGCAGUGGACAAGAUGAUUCUGCCAGCGAAGGAGAGCCACUCUCCUUCCUCAUGCUCCGGAGCUGCCCACUGGGCUCGUGCGUGGAACUGCC
rnacentral:lncRNA from 1 species